GAUGAACGCUGGCGGCGUGCCUAAUACAUGCAAGUCGAGCGAAUGGAUUGAGAGCUUGCUCUCAAGAAGUUAGCGGCGGACGGGUGAGUAACACGUGGGUAACCUGCCCAUAAGACUGGGAUAACUCCGGGAAACCGGGGCUAAUACCGGAUAAUAUUUUGAACUGCAUGGUUCGAAAUUGAAAGGCGGCUUCGGCUGUCACUUAUGGAUGGACCCGCGUCGCAUUAGCUAGUUGGUGAGGUAACGGCUCACCAAGGCAACGAUGCGUAGCCGACCUGAGAGGGUGAUCGGCCACACUGGGACUGAGACACGGCCCAGACUCCUACGGGAGGCAGCAGUAGGGAAUCUUCCGCAAUGGACGAAAGUCUGACGGAGCAACGCCGCGUGAGUGAUGAAGGCUUUCGGGUCGUAAAACUCUGUUGUUAGGGAAGAACAAGUGCUAGUUGAAUAAGCUGGCACCUUGACGGUACCUAACCAGAAAGCCACGGCUAACUACGUGCC
rnacentral:rRNA from 1 species